ACUUCUUUUCCUCUUUCAGGUUCUGCCCUGAUGUUUCCUGGAAUAAUGCUGAGGACUGCCUUUCGGGUAGCCGCCCUAUUCAGUUCACUUCAUCUCGGAAAUACCUGACCCCUGCCUUGGAUCCAGCGGCCCUCCUGAGAGCUGAGGAAGGAGGAAAUCCUAUGUGUCUGCUCCCGGAGCUGCCACAACCCAUCUUCCCACAACUCGGAACUUGGAAAAAGGAACCCAGGACACGACUUUGCUUUUCUUUUGGACCUAGUUGAUACAAGUUAACAGGAUAUGCUUCUGGCCUGUUUCUGGAUUCUAAGGGUAGAACCAGCAUAAAACUAGUCAGUCCAAGUAUUUCUAAAGAUCCACAGACACAGUUCUCCUGGAUUUGGGAAG
rnacentral:lncRNA from 1 species